ACGGAAGGCAGCAGUGGGGAAUAUUGCACAAUGGGGGAAACCCUGAUGCAGCGACGCCGCGUGAGUGAAGAAGUAUCUCGGUAUGUAAAGCUCUAUCAGCAGGAAAGAAAAUGACGGUACCUGACUAAGAAGCCCCGGCUAACUACGUGCCAGCAGCCGCGGUAAUACGUAGGGGGCAAGCGUUAUCCGGAUUUACUGGGUGUAAAGGGAGCGUAGACGGCUUUGCAAGUCUGAAGUGAAAGCCCGGGGCUCAACCCCGGAACUGCUUUGGAAACUGUAGAGCUAGAGUGCAGGAGAGGUAAGUGGAAUUCCUAGUGUAGCGGUGAAAUGCGUAGAUAUUAGGAGGAACACCAGUGGCGAAGGCGGCUUACUGGACUGUAACUGACGUUGAGGCUCGAAGGCGUGGGGAGCAAACAGGAUUAGAUACCCUGGUA
rnacentral:rRNA from 1 species